UACGGGGGGGGCAAGCGUUGUUCGGAAUUACUGGGCGUAAAGGGCUCGUAGGCGGCCAACUAAGUCAGACGUGAAAUCCCUCGGCUUAACCGGGGAACUGCGUCUGAUACUGGAUGGCUAGAGGUUGGGAGAGGGAUGCGGAAUUCCAGGUGUAGCGGUGAAAUGCGUAGAUAUCUGGAGGAACACCGGUGGCGAAGGCGGCAUCCUGGACCAAUUCUGACGCUUAGGAGCGAAAGCCAGGGGAGCAAACGGG
rnacentral:rRNA from 1 species